rnacentral:misc_RNA from 1 species
GAAAUGCGAUACGUAAUGUGAAUUGCAGAAUUCAGUGAAUCAUCGAGUCUUUGAACGCACCUUGCGGCCGCCGGUAAUCCGGCGGCCAUGCCCGUCCGAGCGUCGUUUCGACCCUCGGGGCCCCUAUUCUGCCUGCAGGACGGGGGCCCCGGCAUUGGGCCAGCGCGUGCCGCCCCCUGGGGCGACGCGCGGCCCGCAGUCCAGCGGCGGCAGCACCGGCGACGUCCCCUGCGCAGUACCUUACACUCGCAUUGGUCUCCCGGCGCGGCCCGCCUUGAAACCCCAUAUCAUUAUGUCGACCUCGGAUCGGGUAGGGAUACCCGCUAAACUUAA